GACGAACGCUGGCGGCGUGCUUAACACAUGCAAGUCGAACGGUAAAGCACUGCUUUUGUUGCGUCCUCGAGUGUCGCAAACGGGUGUAACACAUGUGUAACCUGCCCUUGACUCUCGGGUAUCUUCAUGGGACUGGAGCUAUUACCCCGUAUACGCUCCUGCUGCAUAGUCUGUGUUCGUAAAUUUCGGCGGUGGGGGAUGGACUCGCGGCUUAUCAGCUUGUUGGUGGGGUAGUGGCUUACCAAGGCGUUGACGGGUAGCCGGCCUGAGAGGGUGACCGGCCACAUUGGGACUGAGAUACGGCCCAGACUCCUACGGGAGGCAGCAGUGGGGAAUAUUGCACAAUGGGCGGAAGCCUGAUGCAGCAACGCCGCGUGCGGGAUGACGGCCUUCGGGUUGUAAACCGCUUUCGGCUGUGACGAAGCGUGAGUGACGGUAAUGGGUAAAGAAGCACCGGCUAACUACGUG
rnacentral:rRNA from 1 species